UACGGGGGGGCAAGCGUUGUUCGGAAUUCCUGGGCGUAAAGGGCUCGUAGGCGGCCAACUCAGUCGGACGUGAAAUCCCUCGGCUUAACCGGGGAAUGGCGUCCGAUACUGGAUGGCUUGAGUUUGGGAGAGGGAUGCGGAAUUCCAGGUGUAGCGGUGAAAUGCGUAGAUAUCGGAAGGAACACCUGUGGCGAAAGCGGCUCACUGGACCAUUACUGACGCUGAGGCACGAAAGCUAGGGGAGCAAACAGG
rnacentral:rRNA from 1 species